UUUCCCCACACUCAUAUCAUUUCUUUUCUCCAUAUUUCUCUAUCUUUCUCUUUCACUCAUCCCUUGUACCCCUCAUACCCACGACGUGGCCGUCCCUCAUAUCAUUAUCGGCAGUGCCAUUACCGGUGGCCCCACAACAUCGGCGACAACUUUCUUGCUUCUACCACCCCCUUGUUUCAUUUUCGUCUUUCUUCCCCUCUCUCUCUUUCUUUCCCCACUCUCUAUCUCUCACUCAUCCCCAUGAUGGCUGCCCAUCUCACCACUGCUGACGAGCACUACCAGCGACGCCACUACAACAACGCCACCAUCGACCAACAAUCUUUUUUACUACCGGAGUGGAAAAACAUAAGAGCAGUUGGAGCAGUUGAAGCAGGGCACGGGUAAUGGCAGAUUGGAGAAGACAUAAUUGGAGACUUCCUGUAUGUAUUCUCAAUUUUCUUUUGUGAAGAGGAUGACGAGAUCUUUCUCUUUGUGUGUACUUUUUUGUGAGUGUUAUGUGAGGGUUGAGAGUUGGGAUAUUUUUUAGCUUCAUUUUGGAAGCUUUUGAGGGUCAUUAUUGUUAUUGGGACUGCACUUCUAAGGUUAUUUAUUAA